GAUGAACGCUAGCUACAGGCUUAACACAUGCAAGUCGAGGGGAAACGACAUCGAAAGCUUGCUUUUGAUGGGCGUCGACCGGCGCACGGGUGAGUAACGCGUAUCCAACCUGCCCAUCACUUGGGAAUAACCUUGCGAAAGUAAGACUACUACCCAAUGAUAUCCCACGAAGGCAUCGGAAUGUGAUUAAAGAUUUAUCGGUGAUGGAUGGGGAUGCGUCUGAUUAGCUUGUUGGCGGGGUAACGGCCCACCAAGGCAACGAUCAGUAGGGGUUCUGAGAGGAAGGUACACCACAUUGGAACUGAGACACGGACCAAAAUGCGAGGGGAGGGAGCAGAGAAGUAGAUUAGGGAAUGGAGGAGAGCCUGACCCAGCCAAGUAGCGUGCAAGAAGACGGCGCUAGGAGAUGUAAACUGCUUUGAUAAAAGAAUAAAGUGGGUCACGUGUGACGUUUUGAAGGUACCUAAUGAAUAAGGACCGGCUAAUUCCGUG
rnacentral:rRNA from 1 species